rnacentral:sRNA from 1 species
GCCAGGGACGCUUGGUCUCAUACAUGUUGAUUAAAAUUAAAUACUGACCUGACUGGUGAUUCUUGAAUUAAGGUUUAUUAAUUUGCAGCAUGGUGACAUGGACCAGAAGGAGAGAGAUGUUAUCAUGAGGGAAUUCCGGUCAGGGUCAAGUCGUGUUCUGAUCACUACUGACUUGUUGGCUCGCGGGAUUGAUGUGCAACAAGUGUCUUUGGUUAUAAAUUAUGAUCUACCUACCAAUCGUGAAAACUAUAUUCACAGGUGAGAAGCCAGCAUCUUGGCUGUAUGGAAAAAAUUCAUACGUUUUUCUACUGUGAUUUGUAUGAAAGGUAACAUCAAAUCAAGGAAUAGAUUCAGUAAAGUCAGUAGUGUUCGGUAAGAUGAUGUAAUUAAAUUUGUACUAGGGAAGGUUGAUGAGAACAAAGUGGGAAAACUUGUAAACAUUGCCCAGAUUGUGGACAUAGGUUUUUUUUUCCACAAUUGUUGGUCUUAGCUUAUGCUUGAGCUUUUAGUGAUGUUGUGUCCAUGUGUUUUUCUUGGUGAUUUUUUCUAUAGUUGGGAUUUUCUUGGUGUCG